CGGGAAGAAGUCCACUUCUCCGGGUUUUACUAGCAGCUUGAGGAAGAGUCGGGAAAGUGCUGGGGAGGCUGUCAGCUCCAGGCAGUCGGCUUCAGGCAGCAUGAUGCAGUGGAAAGAAUAUGAGAUUCUGGAAUUAGAAAACCUGGGCAUGAGUCCCAGACUCUGUGCUACCAGCUGUGUGACCUUGGGAAAUUCCACUUCACCUUUCAAGAUCCAGCUCAGAUGCUACCAUCUCUGCAAACCCAUCCAUGAAUUUUCCUCUUGCCCUAUG